GAUGAACGCUGGUGGCGUGCCUAAUACAUGCAAGUCGAGCGAACGGACGAGAAGCUUGCUUCUCUGAUGUUAGCGGCGGACGGGUGAGUAACACGUGGAUAACCUACCUAUAAGACUGGGAUAACUUCGGGAAACCGGAGCUAAUACCGGAUAAUAUUUUGAACCGCAUGGUUCAAAAGUAAAAGACGGUCUUGCUGUCACUUAUAGAUGGAUCCGCGCUGCAUUAGCUAGUUGGUAAGGUAACGGCUUACCAAGGCAACGAUGCAUAGCCGACCUGAGAGGGUGAUCGGCCACACUGGAACUGAGACACGGUCCAGACUCCUACGGGAGGCAGCAGUAGGGAAUCUUCCGCAAUGGGCGAAAGCCUGACGGAGCAACGCCGCGUGAGUGAUGAAGGUCUUCGGAUCGUAAAACUCUGUUAUUAGGGAAGAAUAUAUGUGUAAGUAACUGUGCACAUCUUGACGGUACCUAAUCAGAAAGCCACGGCUAACUACGUGCCAGCAGCCGCGGUAAUACGUAGGUGGCAAGCGUUAUCCGGAAUUAUUGGGCGUAAAGCGCGCGUAGGCGGUUUUUUAGUCUGAUGUGAAAGCCCACGGCUCAACCGUGGAGGGUCAUUGGAAACUGGAAAACUUGAGUGCAGAAGAGGAAAGUGGAAUUCCAUGUGUAGCGGUGAAAUGCGCAGAGAUAUGGAGGAACACCAGUGGCGAAGGCGACUUUCUGGUCUGUAACUGACGCUGAUGUGCGAAAGCGUGGGGAUCAAACAGGAUUAGAUACCCUGGUAGUCCACGCCGUAAACGAUGAGUGCUAAGUGUUAGGGGGUUUCCGCCCCUUAGUGCUGCAGCUAACGCAUUAAGCACUCCGCCUGGGGAGUACGACCGCAUGGUUGAAACUCAAAGGAAUUGACGGGGACCCGCACAAGCGGUGGAGCAUGUGGUUUAAUUCGAAGCAACGCGAAGAACCUUACCAAAUCUUGACAUCCUUUGACAACUCUAGAGAUAGAGCCUUCCCCUUCGGGGGACAAAGUGACAGGUGGUGCAUGGUUGUCGUCAGCUCGUGUCGUGAGAUGUUGGGUUAAGUCCCGCAACGAGCGCAACCCUUAAGCUUAGUUGCCAUCAUUAAGUUGGGCACUCUAAGUUGACUGCCGGUGACAAACCGGAGGAAGGUGGGGAUGACGUCAAAUCAUCAUGCCCCUUAUGAUUUGGGCUACACACGUGCUACAAUGGACAAUACAAAGGGCAGCGAAACCGCGAGGUCAAGCAAAUCCCAUAAAGUUGUUCUCAGUUCGGAUUGUAGUCUGCAACUCGACUACAUGAAGCUGGAAUCGCUAGUAAUCGUAGAUCAGCAUGCUACGGUGAAUACGUUCCCGGGUCU
rnacentral:rRNA from 1 species